GAGAGAGAGAGAGAGAGAGAGAGAGAGAGCGCAUGAAAACAGACAGAAGGGAAAAUAGACAUACAAACGCAC